GGCUUCUCCAUAACUGUGUCAACUGUCAAGUGUCAUGUGUGAUUACGAGUAACGAGUUAAAUCUGUCAUCUGUGUAUGAUUUUUCCCUUAACCUCUUAUUUUCCGAAGGAUAGUUCCAAUAAAAUAAGACGUGAGGCACAUUAAAUGGAUAUUUUUUUUGUGGAAUGGGUAUUCUUUUGAUCAGCUAUGCCAGCUGCCAAAUCUCAGUAGUAAUUAUUACUUUUGCGUUCCAUCAUGCAAAUCUAUUGCUCAUUGUGAGGUAUUCCUAAAUAACAUGAUUUGCUGAGCAUACGUCAAUAGACCCUCAAGUGUCGCACUAUAUCGAUACAGUUGUAUUAUAGCUCAGUGGGAUGGCGUCUUGUAAGUGUCAGGUUCGAUUCCAAGUAAUGUCUAACUUCCGAUAUUUCGCGAUCAAGAGAUAUCGUAUUUAGAAUAAAUUGACAUACGAAACAAUUUUAUUUGUACUAUAGUUUAAUUAAUUUUAAUUAAUUUGACCACUACAAUUUUUGUUAAUUGUUUCCUACUUUAACCUUCCACGAUUGUUUGUUUUCUUACACUAAUUGAAAGUGCAAUUAUAUUUUGGGUUAAUUAAUUUUAUUCUACAUAUUAAUUCAACUCUGUCGUAGAUCAAACAUUAUACCCAUGGCCAGUGCGCUAUCAUUCCGUCAUGAUUACCAUUUUAAUAAUCGCUGUUUUCUUUGAAAUGAACAUAGAACAUAUGAAGUUUUAUAACAGAAAUUUUUUUAAGUACAAGUAAUGACAUGUUCCAUUCAUAGAAAAAAAGUGUAAUAGAAAUUGCUCAAUGAAAUGAGUAAUUUUUUUUCCCAAAAAACAUUUUGUACAUUAAAUGUUUCAACCACUAAGCAAUGGUGGGUAAUGAAGUUGUUACCAUAAUUUUUGGUCACUUUUAAGUAAGUUUUAUAUAGAGUUGAUUAAGUGUCAUAUUACAACAUAAAUCAAAUAACGCAAAUAGCUUAGUGAUUAAAAUAUUAAUAAAAUUAUAGAUAAUUUAGAGUUCGAUUAGUGAUAAAAUGCACACGAAUUAACAAUUUCAAAUUGUUUUAUCUUGACAAUUUUAUCUAUACUUAACGUGUAAUUGAAUCGUCGGAAUUUUGCUAAAUAAUAUAUAAAUAUGAUUAAAACAUUUUGCAAAGAUUGUUUUAUGUUAAUUACAAUUACUAUGACCAUUCUUCAAAGUUUUUCAUAACAUAAAAGUUAUGAAAUGUAGUAAAUAACAAAUGCAUCGGGGUGAUACACGAAGGAAAUAACCAUAUUAUAUGUACACGAACAAAUAUAUUUAACAUUUCCGUUCAGACCGCGAUAUUUGUCUAUUUUACUUGUUCCCAACCACUAUAAACAAGAAUAUAUAAACACUUACCAAAAAUCAUGGAUGCUUAACAAACCCUGAAGGCGGAUUUUAGUCUUAUGGCUCUUUUGUUCACACAUAGCAUGGAACUUAGGAUAUAAAUGUUCCUUUGAACACCGCAUCACACAUUACUUGACAAUUUUACAGAUGAAUAAUGCCAAUGACAUCCUUAAACUGAAAAGAAAAUAAAUAUAAAAAAUUAUUAUAUUAGAGAAAUAUUACGUUACAUAAGCAAUUAUAACCUGAGGCUCGAUAACAGGUGUACUAACGCCCUCCAAAAUUUUCUUAAACCUUUAAGUUCCCACAUAUAACAUUCAUAAAUCUCAUCAUUAGAAAUAAAUUCAUUUUACAUGUUUCCCUUACAUGUUAAGUGGUUGCUAAUGUUAAUAUUGGCCGCCCCUGCAUCCUACAACAUUCCCUUACCCCACUGAUUAAACAGAUAAGUGUGCCACAAAAUUUCUCAAAGUAAGAACCACGUCAACUUUCCACAAAAAGAAGUGAAUUACCUUAGUUCAUAAUAGAAGUAGACCUAGCGACUUAAAGAAAUCGUUUCCAUAAUGGAACCAAAUCCAAUAGAACCUAACAUAGUCUAAAGAAUCUUCAUCUGCAUCACAGAACUGCAUAUCCAAACCUGUGCCUGCCAUGUAGGUAGGAUCCACCCGUAAUUCUAAUAGUAGAAAAACAAAAGCUAAACUAUUACACGGAUUUCCCAAAUCUUCAAAAUUUCAUUAAAAUCCUAUCCAGUUAACGUAUACGCAGAGUGAUACCUGGUCUUGGCAGUGUUUACAGCUAUAACAAACUUUCGCAUCCAUCUAUGACGAGGGAAAGAUUUGUCGACGCCAGAUGAUUAGACAACUUACGACAACCUCACCUCUCCUAUAUUUUAAACACCCUGUAAUACUAAACAUCGUGUCACAAUGAAGUUUAGAAAGUCCUGCACGAGUGAACGAACAGUCAAAUGAUUCUUACCCUAUCUUAUUGGAUGCUUUGGCGACGGUACCGAAAUGACACCCUGGAGAUAGAACAUCCGACACGACGCAACAUAACCUGAAAUCAAGCAAACAUUUUUAACGGACACUGCGAACUGAACCCUAAAUGUUAAUUCUCCUAAAUAUAAUCAGUAGGAAAUAUCAAAGUCGUAUCCAUCAAGAAUUCAGAUGACACGCACGAAAAAACAUCAUAUUAACACUAGACAAAGAUAUGUUGCAGACAUAACUAAUCACCUCAAGAAAGCCACAAAGUCCCACACGAUCUAAAACCAAACAAGUCCAACACCUAGAAGAAAAAAAUAAAUUGAUUAAAAACCAGACAAGUGAGCAUUGCAGGGCCAAAAGGGCUUUGCUUCAGGCACUGAUAGUGGUUUAGUUUAUCAUUCAAACAGUCAAGAGUAGCAAAUAGUGGUCAUCAUCAACUGCCCAUAAAAAUAAGUCAGACAUUAUAUUACCCUCCAAGAGCAACACUGGAGACUGGGCAGCAUCAUGUUAGCACCUGAAUGCAACAUACAACAGUCAAGAGCAGACAGCAUAAUUGGACAUAAAGUGAACCUGCAGAUUUAAAAUUUCCUGCCCAAACAUUAAAAAAAACAAUCUAAGUUAUAUUGCGCAAGAUUACACAAGAACAUGUAUCUAAUAUGAGAAACUAUGUUACCUUUCAAGGAUCUCCUAAGUAUUAUGGUUACCAGAGAAUAAAAACUGAGUACCAGUGACACAGUAAUCUCCCAAACCAAGUGAAUCAGGUGUCAGCAACUCAUCAAGCAAGCAGAAUCCACCUGAAUCAAGAAGUCCAAAAUACUACGAAACUAGCAGGAAUAGUAAUAAAAUACUAACAGAAGGGAGUGAAAAACUAUGAUCUAUGUCCAGCAAGGUUGUUCAGAUGUAAAUCAUCACUAACUUAGUGAAACUGCAACACAGAAAUUCCACUUCAGCAUCAACAACUUGAGAAUUUCUUGGAUACAUCAGUUAGUUGAAAAUAAACUUGACGAAACAAUCGGACGAACACGUGGUAACCCAUACUUGUCGUACAUCAACAUGUGAUAAUCACUGAAAUAUUUAAAUAACGAAAAUUUUAUGCUUCGCAUUAAACACCAUUGUAUAAUACUUAGAUAACAAGACUAGGAAAAUGAAACUUGAUAAAAGUUUCUGUAAAACUCACCAACUUUUGAAGUAUCUUUUCCUUUCAACGACAGAAACAAAUAUGAUAUUUCCCAAAUAUUUUCAGGCCUUAUAUAGCAGGUAGCAGGAUCCCUCCAUUCCCUCUGUUUCCCCCUCCCUUCAAUUUCGUUCUAGCGGUGGCGUCUUGAACUACUUCAUAAAUAUUUAAUGGUAAAACGUUAAAGAGUGUACUAAAAACUGUAUUACUUUUAAUUAAAACAAAAGCAUUCCUAAAAAUAUAACAGUUUAAUAUGUGUAAGUGAUACUGCAAAACUAGUACUUAUCGCUCAGUGGAACUGUCAGUUUUAAAAAUGCAUCCAUAUCAGCUGGGUAUGUGGCGCAUACCUGUAAUCCUGCUUCUAGGAGGCUUGAUGUAGUGGAUGGUUUGAGGCUGGGAGUCCUGCUGGAUCGUCGCUUGCGUUGAACAGGUGUCCGCACUAAGCUUGGCAUUCACAUGGAUCGGUUGGAGGAAUCCGGCAGAUCCAGGUUAUCUAAGGAGGAGCGAAUCGGGCCAGGAGGGAAACCUAGCAGCCAAAAGUUCCCGUGUCGGGCAGUAGUGGGAUCGCGCCCGUGAGUAGGCGCCUUUCAGCAGCCCAGCCAAUAAA
rnacentral:lncRNA from 1 species